rnacentral:ncRNA from 1 species
AUACCCGUGAAAACGCCCUUUAUCCUACUUAGGAUAAGGAGCUGAUAUCAGGCAUAACUACCCAAGACAUCUAGCCACGCCACACCCACAAGGGCCUACAGCAGUGAUUAACAUUAAAAAUAAACGUCAGUUUGAUUUAGCCAAUGAAAACAGGGCCGGCCAAUCUGGUGCCAGCCGCCGCGGUUACACCACGAGGCUCAAAUUGAUUUUAAUACGGCGUAAAGCGUGAUUAAAGAAAACUCAACUCUGGGGUUAAACUUAAACUAAGCUGUAGCACGCCUGUUUUCUAGAAAACCAAUUUCGAAAGAUACCCCAACCCACCAACUUGAACUCACAAUAACUAGGACACAAACUGGGAUUAGAUACCCCACUAUGCCUAAUCGUAAACUCUAACUUACUCCUUAAUCGCCAGGGAACUACGAGCUAAGCUUAAAACCCAAAGGACUUGACGGUACCCCACAUCCUUCUAGAGGAGCCUGUCCUAUAACCGAUACCCCCCGUUCAACCUCACCAUUUUUAGUCUUUCAGCCUGUAUACUUCCGUCGUCAGCUUACCGCGUGAGCGAAUAAGUAAGCUAAAUGUCACCCAUCAAUACGUCAGGUCAAAGUGCAGCAAAUAAAAUGGCAAGAGAUGGGCUACACUCUCUACUUUAGAAAACACGAAAAACCAUGUGAAACCAUGCUUAAAAGGUGGAUUUAGCAGUAAGAAAAGAAUAGAAUACUCUUCUUAACCCAGCACUGGGGUGUGUACACACCGCCCGUCACCCUCUUCAACAAUCUCUACCCAGUAUUUAACAUCCAAUUACUCAAUAGAAGAGGUAAGUCGUAACAUGGUAAGUAUACCGGAAGGUGUGCUUGGAAA